rnacentral:rRNA from 1 species
AUGUAUCCUUGGGUUUCCUGCUUGGCUCGUAAAGAAUACAACGAAGCACAAUUUAGACAACUACCAUGCCAUGACCGCACCCUCCUCCGCGCGCGCUCCCCGCCCGUCGUGCACCCCGACGCCCUCACCGUGUUCUGCCCGACGCUAAGCCCAUCCGAGUCGUCGGCAGCCCUGGUCAACGAGAUCUUCGUCCUCUCCAAGGACCAGGUGGCCGCUCUCAAGCGCGCCUGCGCCGGCGGCGGAGUCGGGCGCGUGAGCACCUUCUGCGCCCUGAGCGCCCACGUGUGGCGGUGCCUGUGCGUGGCCCGCCGGCUGCCUCCGGACGCCACGACGCGCCUCACCUUCACGGCGAACGUCCGGCGCAGCCUGAGGCCGCCGCUCCCCGACAGGUACUUCGGCAACGGGAUCAUCAUGGUGGGCACCGCGGGCAAAGUGGGGGAGAUCCGCUCGGAGGAGCUGGCCUCCGUCGCCGGCCGGAUCAGCGGCACCGUCCGCCGGGUAGACGACGAGGUGGUGCGCUCGGUGAUCGACUACGUGGAGAUGGUCGGCCGGCCAGUGAUGCAUGCGGGAAGCAUGCCGGAGACGGAGCUGAUGGUGGUCAGCUGGCUGGGCAUGCCUAUGUACGAGGCGGGCUUCAGGUGGGGGAAGCCGCGGGCGAUGCAGCUCGCCGCGCAGUAG